rnacentral:rRNA from 1 species
UAGAGUUUGAUCAUGGCUCAGGAUGAACGCUAGCGGCAGGCCUAACACAUGCAAGUCGAGGGGUAACAGAGAAGCUUGCUUCUGCUGACGACCGGCGCACGGGUGCGUAACGCGUAUGCAACCUACCUCAUACUGGAGAAUAGCCCUUGGAAACGAGGAUUAAUACUCCAUAGUAUCAUUCUUUCGCAUGUUAGAAUGAUUAAAGAAUUUCGGUAUGAGAUGGGCAUGCGUCCCAUUAGCUAGUUGGUGAGGUAACGGCUCACCAAGGCGACGAUGGGUAGGGGGCCUGAGAGGGUGGUCCCCCACACUGGUACUGAGACACGGACCAGACUCCUACGGGAGGCAGCAGUGAGGAAUAUUGGUCAAUGGAGGCAACUCUGAACCAGCCAUGCCGCGUGAAGGAUGACGGCCCUAUGGGUUGUAAACUUCUUUUAUAUGGGAAGAAACUUAUCUACGUGUAGAUAACUGACGGUACCAUACGAAUAAGGAUCGGCUAACUCCGUGCCAGCAGCCGCGGUAAUACGGAGGAUCCAAGCGUUAUCCGGAUUCAUUGGGUUUAAAGGGUCCGUAGGCGGAUUUUUAAGUCAGUGGUGAAAGCCGGCAGCUCAACUGUCGAACUGCCAUUGAUACUGGAAAUCUUGAGUACAAAUGAAGUAGGCGGAAUGAGUCAUGUAGCGGUGAAAUGCAUAGAUAUGACUC